rnacentral:RNase_P_RNA from 1 species
AGAGUCGGUCGGAUAGUUACUCUCAAUCCGCGUUAAGUGAAAUGGGGAGAGGAAAGUCCGAGCACUGCAGGACAGGAUGCCGCCUAAUUGACGGGCCCCGCAAGGGGAUGGAAAGUGCAGCAGAAAGUAAACCGUCCCGAACGCGCUUCGGGAUAAGGGUGAAACGGUGGUGUAAGAGACCACCAGUCUCUAUAGCAAUAUAGGGAGCUGGGUAAACCCCAUCCGGUGCAAGAUCAAGUAAACCCCAAGAUGUGGUCCGCAUCUAUAUUUUUUAAAUGAGAGGGGAGGGUUGAUCGCGUGAUCCCGGCGGAAACAUCGGGACUAGAUGAAUGACUAUCAAUUACAGAACUCGGCUUAUAGAUCGACUCUAUUU